GAGCUGAAGGCAAGGCUGUCAGAGGCUGAAAUGUUUAAUGAUUUAUGCAUUCUAGGAGACUUUUGCAGGCUUUUGACUUGCAUUUUGGAUGGACAGUUGGGCCCAUCCCUCCCUCCAGUAAAGAGCCAAGUUUGCAGACUUUUGACUUGCAUUAUACCUCUGAUGAGCAAUUGUUAAAAUAAACCCUACCUAUGUAUGUUUUCAGACACCGAUUAUUCAGUGUCGUUUCACUCUAAUCCACCCCAAGGGAAUUAUUGAUAAGAACCUGGGUUACUCCUCUCCCCUUUUUCUGGGGUGGGUCGUAACAAAGGCCUGCAGCCCACGCAGAGCACAGGGCAGAGCUGCAGGCCCUGCAGCCGGGCUGUCAGUCCAGGCAGAGCUGCCUGGUAGCCCGACCACACCAUGACCCCUGGAGCCUGUGACUGCUACAGCACAACUCACUCUGGCCUGGAAGGCAAGGACAGGAUAUCCUGCCUGGGAGGGAAAACUGAACUGUGAAUUCGUGACACUCCAUGUGAUCUCUCUCUCUUCCAUGUAAAUCAUCAGAUCUUGUUGGAAUUUCUCAAGAAUAACAUCGCCACAAUGGUCCUGAGGCGCUGUGGUACCCCAGAUCUUCAACACGCAGUUAAGAACAAUGGAUAAGCUUAGCCAAGUCAUGAUGAAGGUGAUGAUAUCACCACUGUCAUGAGGGCAGUUUUGAAUUCCUUUUCCAGGAGAUCUUUGUCUUCAUAUUUUCCUGAAAUGGAGACUUGGAUAAAAACAGACUGGAUGAGUCAAGAUCAAAGCACCUAAUCAAGGAUCGAUUGUGCAACGACAGAGUGUACAGACAUAUAACAAAGAAAGCAGUCCCUACCUCAGGCAGUUGCAGUCUGUGUGGCAAGUAC